CGCGCCACAGCCGGGAGCUGGUCUGGAGGCCAAGAACUUCUUCCCUCCCUGCUCCAGGAGGAGCCGGCCCAGGCAAGAGAGGAAAGGAGAAAAGGGCGUGAACUUUGCACCCAGCGGUUCAAGUUUCACAAAGUUUGUUGCGGUCACAGACAGAGAGGGGUGUGUGUGUGUGCACGUGUAAGCUCGCCAGUGGCAAAGAGGGAGGAAGAGCACUCGGCUUUUUCCACCUUCACUCCGGGCACCGGCGGGCACUGGCUUGGUCACGGCUUCCUGAGCAGGCACGGGAGCGGGGGCGGGCUGUAGUUUUCCGCCGUCGCGAAGGACACUGUUUGAGGCGACAGAGGCAUCUUCGCCCGCGCGUAGACUCAAGCCGAGCAUCUCACUGUUUGCGUGCUAAUCUGAGUCCACUGCGAAAAGGAAAUCGCUGAAAUUCCGAAGAAAAUUGCCUCUCGCCGGUGGUUAAUAGUUAACUCAGACGGGAAAGUUCCCAGGGAAAGGCGAAAGCCAGGGCGAGAGGUGCAGGGGAGGCGCCCCGGGAGGGCCUCGGCCAGCCCCGGUCUCUCCCCUCCCAGGCCGCGCUCGGCCCCGCGCGCCUCCCCUUCCCGGGCGACGCAUCCCCCACCCCGUAAUUAGCAUCGUUUAGUUCACAAAACCUUUCCUGGGAGAAAUCUGUUCUCUCGUUCCGGGGCUCGGUUCAGCACCUGAUUCCGCCGGGUGAAGCGAAUAAAUCACUGCGGCGGCGGGGGAGCCGGACCCAAGCCCGCCAGACGGUGGCCGCCGGGAGAACGAAAAAGUGAGAAAGAGGCAGCGGAGCCAGGAAAAAUGAUGCAGGGAGACGGCGCAAUCCUAGCCCAGGAAGAGUGAGGGGCCCGGGAAAGGGAAACCCAGAGGCAGAGAAGGGGCCAAAAUGGAAGAGGGAGAUACAGAAAGAGACAGAAGAGAACAAGAAGGAGAGUGACAAGGAAAAGCGAACGAAAAGAAAGGGAAAAUGAGGAAGGGAAAUAAGUUAAAGAAACAAGAGCGAAGAGGGAGAUUAAGAAGGAAGGGACAGGCGAAUAAAGAAAAUAAAAGAAAACCAGAAGAGCAAACGCUUUUGUUUAUCUACAAAACCCCCUUGCAGGGCGCGCUUUCCCGACCGCGACCCGCGGCGGGAAGGGGGCCAGGGCUCUCGCGCUGAGGCCGCAGGCCCAGGAGGCCAGGGCGGGGCGCUCAGCCUGUGCGCUUGGGGCGCUAGGCGGGGUCCCGCGCGGACCUGGAUUCCAAGUUGAACUUCAGGGCGCGGGGCGCGCCGGAGCAUCUGCCCCUGGAAAGAGUGGUGUCUGGGUGUGGGGUGUCGUCCUGGGUCCAUGGCGGGGAAGGGGACGGGUAGAUAAAAGGUUCACGGCUCGUUCUUGGGCACGCAUUGGGCGCCUGGGACUUUCAGCCCUGGCGCGAAGGGAGGUGGGGAGGCGGGGUGGCGGGAACCCGUGGUGGGCAGGCUGUGGCCGCUAAGCACAGACCCCCAACGUCCCCGCAGCUCGGACUUCUCAUUCUUCAGCCGGCCCUGGGAAAACUCCCUUCUUGCGGAUCUAGUGUCCAGGCUGGCGCGCCGGGCCACAGAUGCAAGGAAAAAGUAACGCAGCCAGAACCGCGACCCAGCGCCAGCGGAGGGCGCAUUUCCUGAGCCGCCUUCCCACUGCGACUCAGAGACGCGGCUCAGAUUCUGCCCGUUCCCAGGGUCUUCUCCAGCACCGGUGUCCCCAGGCCAGAGGGUAGAGAGGAAGAAAGAAGAGGAGAAAGAAGCGGGGGCAGGGGUGGGGUGGGGAGGAAAAGGGACGGGAGAAGGGUGGGGGAGGAGAGGGGGCGGUGCAGAAGAGAAGCAGAUUGCAAUGAAAAGUGGAAAUGCAGACCGGAUGGAAAGGAGGGCUUAAGGAUGCUAGGAAGCUUCCCCCUUCGGUUUGACUAGGUAUCUACGUAGACAGAGAUGGGAGCGCCCGGUUCCCCGGCCUCACCAUUUUGAGCCCCUGUGCUUUGGCGCCCCCAUGAUGUCGGGCUGAAGACUGAGACCGCAACAGGGCCGCUGCAGGCUCCGGUAUGAGUGAGACCGAGAUCACAGAGUGGAAGACUUCCCUGCCCACUAGGCGGCCCUGGGAUGACAAACGCCCUGAAAUUUUCCAGCCUUUUGAGACUUCUGGGUCGACCUGGUCCAACCCACUCUGCUCCUCCUCUCUCCUCC
rnacentral:lncRNA from 10 species